rnacentral:tRNA from 2 species
GCCAGGGUGAUGGAAUUGGUAGACAUGCUAGACUCAAAAUCUGGUAACUUCACGGUUGUGUGGGUUCGAGUCCCAUCCCUGGUAC